GCUUAACCUUAACCAGUGAAUUUCUUUUUUAAUUUAAACAACAUUUUCAUCAACAAUUAAUUUCCUUUUAUAAUUGUUGUUGAUUAAAAUCUUUUAAUUCUACAGUUUAUGAUUCGUAAUUAACGGUAGAUUAAUCAACUAAUUCUGUCUCGGAGUAAUUGGAAAUUACCACAAGGUGAAUUCAACUCAAUCUCUUCAUUCAUCUUCUUUUAUCUCAACCAGUGUUCAUUUCUUAAUUGUUGUUGAUUAAUUUCCUCUUGUUUUUAUUAGAAUUGGUUUUCUAUUGACAAUCUACUGAUUAGGUUUACAAUUGCUUUGCUUAAUUGUCGUGGUUAAAUUUAGUGGGUUCAUUAGAAUCUCAAUUUAUCUAAUUGAAUAAUGAAGGUGUUAAUCAACUGAUGAUAAUUAAAACAUUUAUCUCUCAUUAUCCAUAUUCAACUGGUGAAUGGAUUUCAAGAAAAUACAAUCAACAUGGUGUUAAUGUCAUUAUCAUCUUAUCUUUUUGGUCUCCCCUUAAAUCUUGUUAAUCAUGGAUCAGUGAUUUACUAUUUCUCAUGCAAAUCAAGGUGAUUACGGAAGUGAAUCUGGUGUUUUAAUCCAAGUAUACAUGUAGAAAAAAGGUCAAACAAUAGAGUUAGAGAGGAGAAAAAAGGAAAAAAAGAGAAAACGUUAUGCUGAUUGAAUUGGAAGUAAAAAAAUGAUAUUAAUUUAAAGGUGAAAAGCCAAGGAUCAACAGCCUUUCGGUUUUGGAUUGACGAUUAAAGUAGAUUAAUUCACAAUCAAGGUCCAAAAUGGUUCCACUACUGCGAAAGAUCAACUAAAUCAAUCAACAAUCAAGACCUUUUAUUUUCUUCCUCCCUCUCCUGAAAUUAACUGUUACCAUGUUUACCAUGUCAACGAUAAUCAAAGUGAUUGACUUUCUCUUUGAUUACCAAGAGAUAUUAGGUAACAAUUAAUUCCUUUACUGGUGUUAAUUGCUAUUUCCAUUAUUAUCAUGACAAUGACAAUGGAAAAUUUAAUAAGUGAUUAGGUUUAUAAUGAAAAUACAAACCUAAUUGUGAUUGUUUGUGAGUCUUUGUUAGGUUAACAAUUUGUUAGCGUAACCAAUAAACCAGCUGAAUUAAUUGGAUAACAAUUAACCAGAAAGACUGAUUUAUCAACUUGACUAAUCAUCAGUGACAUUGGUUAAAAUACAACAUACAAUUUGGUGGAUUAUUUAUUUUUCAUUCAACAAUUAACAAUUUAACAAUAAUUUAAGCUGAUUAAAUGAGCCAAUGGGUAACAAUCAAUCAAGGAAAAAAAACUGGAUCAAUUCUUAAUUGUUAUUUGUAUUCUAAUGAACUAAAUCAUCGCCAUAAUCAUUUUUUGAUUUAAUCACUUGAAUUUGAUUUAAGAGCAAUUAACACUUUGCACUUUUCGUUGAUAAUUGUCAUCGCAAUUAUCUAAUCAUUCCAAGGGUAACCCUUUAAUUGAUCCACAUAAUUAACCAUCAAAUGUCACUCACAAUGUAAACAAUCAAUUUCCUUUUUCUUUUUGUUGAUUACUUAAUUGUUGAGAAGAACAGUUUUCACUUCUAAAUUAAGAAACACAAUUAAUCAACAAUUUUCCCUUUAAAACGAUUACCAAUAUGAUCAGUAACAAAAAAACGAAUCAAACAAUUAAGAAAUUAGAAUUAGUUUCUUAAAGUUGAUACAAUUGGAUUUUCUGAUUCACGUCAAUCAAAAUUAAUUGUAAUUAAUGAUCUAAAUAUAAAACUUUUCCAAUCGUAAUCAACUUAAAAAGGUAACAAUUGAAAAAUAUUGACUUUUAAUCAACAAUUAGAAUACAAAUUGAAACAAAACAAUUUAACGCAACUUAGUUAACAGUAGUUAAGUUAAUUGCGGAAAUAUAAUCUAUCAUUGCCAUUAACCAAUUACCAAUCUAAUUUAAUUUUUCAGUCCCAAUAAUUAGAUUAAAUAAUUGGAUUUAAAAGGAGAUCAAGAAAAAAAUUUAAAACAAUCAACAAUUAAAUCAGCUUACGAUUGUCACGAUAAUUAAUCACAGAUAUUGUUGAUUUAAUUGUUGGAAAAAUUUUCUCUACCUUUUUUGAAUUACAAUCAGUUAAUUGUAACCAAUUGGUUACCUUGA